rfam:Peptoniphilus duerdenii ATCC BAA-1640 genomic scaffold SCAFFOLD1, whole genome shotgun sequence.
AAUUAACUGUAACCGCUCUAAGUAGGUUUUUAAGUAAUACACCUGCACAGGCGAGUCUUAAAUAUUUA